CUGCUGUGCAGAUUACUUUGGCUAAUUUCUAAGGUGCUUCCAACAGGGUCUAGCAUAUGGCAUAUUAUAGCUCUUUUGUGAGCCUGGGAAGCUGGCACGGACUACACGGAGCAGCUGGGGCUACCAAGACAAUUAGUCUGACAACCAUGUGUGAUUAUAAUGUAAUAUCUACUGCACAUGCAUCCCACCAAAGAUGUCUGACCAGCUGGACAGAGUAACAUGACUUGUAAUCACUUCACUCAGGAGACUGACACAGGAAAAAUGGCACAUUCUGUGAAGUGUUGUCCGUUGCUGCCAAUCAUGAUUGCUUGGUGAAUCCCAGCUGCAAUGAAUGGAAGUGAGGAGAGAGGUAAAGCAGGAUGGAAAUCUCCAAGAAGUCCUUUGAACCACUGUAUCUGAUUCACUUGGUGGGUUGAAAGAACUGACUGCUCAAAAAAGGGACUUAAUAGCAAAAGAAGCCGGGAAAUCACGAGGCAGAGUUUAAAGUUGCGGUAUUUAUCUAAUACAGGGAAGGUGGCAUUGCCAAGGAAACAUUCUCUUUCAUUCAUUCCAUAAUGAUUGACUGACCAUCUUUGCUACUGCCUGGCAAAUUCAGCAAAUGAAAUCAGAUGCCCUUACAGCAAAAUGACCAAUGGUCCUAUCAAGAAAAGAUGAGACAGAGCUGGACUGAAAGCAGGAAGAGUUAAGGACUGUGAAGUCCUCCUGGACAGAGAUAAUGGUGGCCUGAACUACAGUGGAACUCAGCAAUGAACAGAAAAACAGGCAGGCUCAAGGGAUGGACCAUUGGGAGGUAUGUCCAGCUCAUUUGGAAAGACAAUUCUUACAAUCAGGAAGAAAAAAAUGUAUAUUUUUGGUACCAUUUGAUGUUAAGGUUAUAAUACCUAUAGUUAAAAUUGACAUUUACCAUAUAUCUUUACAUAAGUGAUGUUUGUAAGCAUGAUGAGGGCAGGAUGCUAUGAAGCACUUACAUAUGUGUGUGUGUGUGCUCACUAGUUGUGUAAUCUUGGAAAGGUUAACUUUCUGUGCCUCUAUUCUUCUGACAGCUUUGUCACAUUUCAGUGAGUCACUAUAUGCUCUUGACCUUAUAAACUUUUGGGUCUAGCCAAUGGAAGAUUCUUCUAUAACCCUAAGACUCCAGCAAAUACAUCUACCCACACGCUAUUUGCCAACCAUGCUACCACAUCAGCAAACAUCUCAGCCCUUAGCAAUGGCAAGAAGUUGGUACAUCCACAACACCAGAACUAACCUGUAGACAAUGACAGAAUGGAAAAGGAAGGCCAGCUCUCUGUGCUGUCAUUUUUUUCCUCUGAACAAUGUUUUCCCAUUGGCUGUUACUGGGACAAGUGUACAAUUUACAUUUUGAUAGCUCCACUUUUAAAGUAACAAAGAGUCCAGGAAUAGGACCAUGCCGACAUGACCAUAUAGUUGCACUAAAGAUACAAAGACACUGCAAUAGAUGAAGAGUGGCCUUUUAGUAUUGGUUCAACUGGCAAUAUCUACAUUAUAGAAGAACUUUAUGAUUUCAGGUUUACAAAAAGGUUUUAUGUAUGGCACUGUGGUGGUUUGAAAGAAAUGGUUCCUAACAGGAACGGGACUAUUAGGAGGUAUGGCAUUGUUGGAGUAGGUAUAACUUUGUUGGAAGUAAUAUGGGAGUGGGCUUUUAGGUCUCCAUUGCUCAAGCUUUCCUCAGUGUGACACUCAGACCACUUCCUGUUGCCUAUGAAUCAAGAUGUGAGAACCUCAGCUCCUCCUCUAGCAUCAUGUUUGCCUGCAUGCUGCCUUGCUUCCUGCCAUGACAAUAAUGGACUAAACCUUUGCAAUGUAAGCAAACCACCACA
rnacentral:lncRNA from 1 species